rnacentral:ncRNA from 1 species
UAUUAGUUUGAUUCUAACUAAUAGAUUAGUAAUAUAUUAUAAAUCUCAUGCUAACAUAUAAUAAAAUAUUACAUAUAUGUGUAUAACAAAUUUGAUUAAUACAUAAUAGCAGCGAUGGAUACUUUAAUUAUAUGCUAACACAUGAAAAGGUUCAAAUAUUUUCGCUAGCCAAAUUCGUGCCAGCAGCAGCGGUUAUACGACAAGCCUCUAACAACUAAAAUCAAGAAAAAGAUAAAAUAAAAUAAAAUAUAAAAGUCAAAUUUCUACUAAAUUAGAUCUAAUAUUAUCUUAUAAAAAGCUAUAAACUAAAACAAGGAUUAGAUACCCUUCUAUUAUUAGUAUAAAUAAUGAUUGGGGACUACGAGUAAUGACUUAAAAACCCAAGAUUUUGGCGGUGUUUUAUUCAAUCAGGAGAAUCUGUUUCAUAAUCGAUAACCCACGAAAAAUAAACCUUACUCUUGAGAUAACAGUUUGUGUACUGCCGUCUAAUAGGCCCUUAAGGUUACCUAUAACAAAUUUUAUUAAUAGUACGUCAGGUCAAAGUGCAGCUAACGAGAAGGAGAAAAUGGAUUACAAACUAUAACAUAGAUGGAGUUUCACUAUAAAUGUAAGAUAAAAAAGAACUUGAUAGUAAUUCUAUUUAUAAAAUAAGAUGAAUAAGAACCUAAAACAAGCACAUAUCGCCCGUCACUCCUUUAUAUAGGAUAAGUCGUAACAUAGUAGGUGUAAUGGAAAUUGCAUCUGUCAGAUU